AGUGAACGCUGGCGGUAGGCCUAACACAUGCAAGUCGAACGGCAGCACAGGAGAGCUUGCUCUCUGGGUGGCGAGUGGCGGACGGGUGAGGAAUACAUCGGAAUCUACUCUGUCGUGAGGGAUAACGUAGGGAAACUUACGCUAAUACCGCAUACGACCUACGGGUGAAAGCAGGGGACCUUCGGGCCUUGCGCGAUUGAAUGAGCCGAUGUCGGAUUAGCUAGUUGGCGGGGUAAAGGCCCACCAAGGCGACGAUCCGUAGCUGGUCUGAGAGGAUGAUCAGCCACACUGGAACUGAGACGCGGUCCGGACUCCUACGGGAGGCAGCAGUGGGGAAUAUUGGACAAUGGGCGCAAGCCUGAUCCAGCCAUACCGCGUGGGUGAAGAAGGCCUUCGGGUUGUAAAGCCCUUUUGUUGGGAAAGAAAUCCAGCUGGCUAAUACCCGGUUGGGAUGACGGUACCCAAAGAAUAAGCACCGGCUAACUUCGUGCCAGCCGCCGCCGUAA
rnacentral:rRNA from 1 species